AGAGUUUGAUCAUGGCUCAGAUUGAACGCUGGCGGCAGGCCUAACACAUGCAAGUCGAGCGGUAGCACAGAAGAGCUUGCUCUUUGGGUGACGAGCGGCGGACGGGUGAGUAAUGUCUGGGAAACUGCCUGAUGGAGGGGGAUAACUACUGGAAACGGUAGCUAAUACCGCAUAACCUCGCAAGAGCAAAGAGGGGGACCUUCGGGCCUCUCGCCAUCAGAUGUGCCCAGAUGGGAUUAGCUAGUAGGUGAGGUAAUGGCUCACCUAGGCGACGAUCCCUAGCUGGUCUGAGAGGAUGACCAGCCACACUGGAACUGAGACACGGUCCAGACUCCUACGGGAGGCAGCAGUGGGGAAUAUUGCACAAUGGGCGCAAGCCUGAUGCAGCCAUGCCGCGUGUGUGAAGAAGGCCUUCGGGUUGUAAAGCACUUUCAGCGGGGAGGAAGGCGGUGAGGUUAAUAACUUCAUCGAUUGACGUUACCCGCAGAAGAAGCACCGGCUAACUCCGUGCCAGCAGCCGCGGUAAUACGGAGGGUGCAAGCGUUAAUCGGAAUGACUGGGCGUAAAGCGCACGCAGGCGGUCUGUUAAGUUGGAUGUGAAAUCCCCGGGCUUAACCUGGGAACUGCAUUCAAAACUGACAGGCUAGAGUCUUGUAGAGGGGGGUAGAAUUCCAGGUGUAGCGGUGAAAUGCGUAGAGAUCUGGAGGAAUACCGGUGGCGAAGGCGGCCCCCUGGACAAAGACUGACGCUCAGGUGCGAAAGCGUGGGGAGCAAACAGGAUUAGAUACCCUGGUAGUCCACGCUGUAAACGAUGUCGAUUUGGAGGUUGUGCCCUUGAGGCGUGGCUUCCGGAGCUAACGCGUUAAAUCGACCGCCUGGGGAGUACGGCCGCAAGGUUAAAACUCAAAUGAAUUGACGGGGGCCCGCACAAGCGGUGGAGCAUGUGGUUUAAUUCGAUGCAACGCGAAGAACCUUACCUACUCUUGACAUCCAGAGAACUUAGCAGAGAUGCUUUGGUGCCUUCGGGAACUCUGAGACAGGUGCUGCAUGGCUGUCGUCAGCUCGUGUUGUGAAAUGUUGGGUUAAGUCCCGCAACGAGCGCAACCCUUAUCCUUUGUUGCCAGCGAUUCGGUCGGGAACUCAAAGGAGACUGCCGGUGAUAAACCGGAGGAAGGUGGGGAUGACGUCAAGUCAUCAUGGCCCUUACGAGUAGGGCUACACACGUGCUACAAUGGCGUAUACAAAGAGAAGCGACCUCGCGAGAGCAAGCGGACCUCAUAAAGUACGUCGUAGUCCGGAUUGGAGUCUGCAACUCGACUCCAUGAAGUCGGAAUCGCUAGUAAUCGUAGAUCAGAAUGCUACGGUGAAUACGUUCCCGGGCCUUGUACACACCGCCCGUCACACCAUGGGAGUGGGUUGCAAAAGAAGUAGGUAGCUUAACCUUCGGGAGGGCGCUUACCACUUUGUGAUUCAUGACUGGGGUGAAGUCGUAACAAGGUAACCGUAGGGGAACCUGCGGUUGGAUCACCU
rnacentral:rRNA from 2 species